CCACAACAAGCCAUCCUAGUAGACCCGAGGCCUCCUCUAGCGGAUAGAAAGCGGAUCAGCUCCUUCCCACCUCCUCUAAGUCAUGUCCUGAGCUCAAGUCCACCUUUAUCAUAUCCCACACUGCUCACAAGGACUCACAGUUUCCCUUGAGGCCCAUCCUGUCGUGCUCCCUCAGGGUGCAGUUGAUGGAUGGGACCGCAGAGGUUCAUCAGCUGAAGCCAGAGAACUGCACACCUGACCCAGACUUGUGGCUGCAUCACAGUGCUAUCCCUGUGCCAGGCGGGGGGUGCGGAGGGAGCGGGUCACAAGAACAUCUGAGCCUGGAGUGACCUUUGACUUUUGAUGCCCGUGAGAGAGGAAGAAGUCACUUGUGCUCACACAAAGCUGGGGCUCUGUUUGUCAGGAGGGUUCAGUGGCCUCAGAAAAGGCUGUCUGGGAGCUUGCUACAGAGGAUCACAGCUCGCAUAUGGUAUGACUCUCUGCCUCAUCCUCCUGCAUCAAGAUGUGAGCUCUCAGCUACUUCCUCAGCUCCCUGCCUGCCUGCUGUCAUGCUCCCUGCCAUGAUGGUUGUGGA
rnacentral:lncRNA from 1 species